rnacentral:rRNA from 1 species
UACAGAGGUGGCAAGCGUUGUUCGGAAUUACUGGGCGUAAAGGGCGCGUAGGUGGCCUUUUGAGUCAGACGUGAAAUCCCCCGGCUUAACCUGGGAACUGCGUCUGAUACUGGAAGGCUUGAGUUCGGGAGAGGGAUGUGGAAUUCCAGGUGUAGCGGUGAAAUGCGUAGAUAUCUGGAGGAACACCGGUGGCGAAGGCGGCAUCCUGGACCGGCAUUGACGCUGAGGCGCGAAGGCUAGGGGAGCGAACGGG